rnacentral:rRNA from 1 species
GUGGGGAAUCUUGCGCAAUGGGCGAAAGCCUGACGCAGCCAUGCCGCGUGAAUGAUGAAGGUCUUAGGAUUGUAAAAUUCUUUCACCGGGGACGAUAAUGACGGUACCCGGAGAAGAAGCCCCGGCUAACUUCGUGCCAGCAGCCGCGGUAAUACGAAGGGGGCUAGCGUUGCUCGGAAUUACUGGGCGUAAAGGGCGCGUAGGCGGAUCGUUAAGUCAGGGGUGAAAUCCCGGGGCUCAACCUCGGAAUUGCCCUUGAUACUGGCGAUCUUGAGUAUGAGAGAGGUAUGUGGAACUCCGAGUGUAGAGGUGAAAUUCGUAGAUAUUCGGAAGAACACCAGUGGCGAAGGCGACAUACUGGCUCAUUACUGACGCUGAGGCGCGAAAGCGUGGGGAGCAAACAGGAUUAGAAACCCCAGUAGUCC